rnacentral:rRNA from 1 species
GGUGACGUGGAGGCAAACCUCCAGAAAGCCAAUCUCAGUUCGGAUUGUAGGCUGCAACUCGCCUACAUGAAGUCGGAGUUGCUAGUAAUCGCGGAUCAGAAUGCCGCGGUGAAUGCGUUCCCGGGUCUUGUACACACCGCCCGUCACACCAUGGAAGUUGGGGGCGCCCGAAGUCUGUGACCCAACCUUAGGGAGGGAGCAGCCGAAGGCAGGUCGGAUGACUGGGGUGAAGUCGUAACAAGGUACC